rnacentral:rRNA from 1 species
GAUUGAAAAGAACUUUGAAGAGAGAGUCAAAAAGACCGCGAAACCGUUAGGAGGGAAACGAAUGCAGCUGAAUUGGCCCUGUUCAGGCUCAGGAGCGAUGUUGGUCAGUGAUGCCGGAUCGCAAAAGCCGAUAGGUUUUGCCCUACGGAUAGCUGCCAACUCCUCUGCAUUCCUGUGCACGGGCUGGCCAACAACAGUUACCCGUGGCUGACGAGGGCAGUUGGGUAGGUAGUCCUCCCUCGUGGAGGAAACGUAUAGCCAUCUGUCUGGUAGUCUGGGGGUGACUGAGGAAAACUUGCAGCAUAGGCCCUCUGGGUUUGGGCCGCUUCUGGUCGUUCGGGCGCCACGCGAGGGACUGCGUGCAGUGUCUAGUGAUGGUUGUCUGCUCGGGCGGGAGGUCGGUCACACCUUAUGCUGUGGUUGUUGGUGUUCAAAUGGCUGCAUCCGACCCGUCUUGAAACACGGAAA